UCCGACAUAGUAUAGUGGCUAGUAUCCCCGCCUGUCACGCGGGAGACCGGGGUUCGAUUCCCCGUGUCGGAG
rfam:Phaeodactylum tricornutum CCAP 1055/1 chromosome 12, whole genome shotgun sequence.